rnacentral:lncRNA from 1 species
GAAGGGUGUUUACCCUAAAAAUCAAACAAAGCAGAAAAUGUGCAGUAUUUGAAAUCUCUGGCUCCACACAGGGAGAGCCUCUGACAGCAGCUCUGCAGCCGGCCUUAGGAAUUGCCACCAUGCUGUGGAAGUCUGCACCUUCCAGAGUGAUGCAAGGACUGUGACCCAGGUUUUGGCAUAUUCCUCACCAAAGACCGUGUUAGA